AGCCAAGGUGACGGGAGAAGAGCCUUUUUUAUGAGGAAAGGUACUGACUGCCUGAGUAAAUUGGUGGGUGAAUCUGAAUGAGAGCUUCAUUUAUUAUUUGAUCAGGCCUACCAGAUGCGACCUUCAAUUAUUUUCUUUGAUGAGAUAGACGCUCUUGCUCCUGUGUGGUGCAGCAAGCAAGACCAAAUUCACAGCUCUGUUGUUUCAACACUUCUGGCACUCAUGGGUGGCUUGGCCAGCAAAGGAGAGGUUGUGGUGAUUGGAGCCACCAACAGACCGGAUGCCAUCGAUCCUGCUUUACGAAGACC